rnacentral:snRNA from 1 species
AUCGCUUCUCGGCCUUUUGGCUAAGAUCAAGUGUAGUAUCUGUUCUUAACAGUUUUAAUAAAGAUUUUAUUUAUUUAUUUGACAGAGAGACACAGC